GAGAUCUUCUGGAGAGUCCAGACUGCAGACUGGAGACUCUCAGGAUCAGAGAGGAUGAGACGAUCAGAGCCAAGAUCCAGAAGAACUGAACUCCCAUCCCCCGAGUCCUGCGGCAGGAAGCGCUCCUUCUCUCCAAGAACUCCUGGACCCUGCAAGCUGGUCCAGAACCAGAGUCCCAGUGAGGAGUCCAGCCAGUCCACCUCUCAGAGUUAAACUAAACUACAACAUUAUUAAAGAUCAUGUUUAAAGUUAAAAAAGGAUGCUUUCAGACUGAAUCCAGAAGUUUCUCAAGCUGCAGUCAAAGCAGGUCAUUUGAGAAAAUAUAUUACAACAAAAAAAAACUAUAA